UCGUAACGCGCGGCGGCUGUUGUUUUGUAUCGGAUCGUUCCCCUUAUGAUAACGAUAUCCGAUGUAUAUAAUGAAAACGAUACGGACUUAUGGUGGGUGAGCCACUGUCGAAAGCGAGAAGUUAGGAAGUUAAGAAGUAUAGAGUGGAAUUAAAUGUAUAUCUGUACGCUGCGACGGUUAAUCUUCGCAAACAAUAAACGAUUCUGUGCGUUUUAUGAGGCCACAAUAUAUACAAUUUGAAGAUAAUACAUUUCGUACGUUUUCCCGGUUUUUCCAUUGAAACGCAAAGGGAAAAUCUAAAAAUGACCUCCUUGAAGUGAAACUUCAGGUCA